rnacentral:piRNA from 1 species
UGGUGAUGGGCAGUAAAGUCAGACUGCA